rnacentral:lncRNA from 1 species
AUUAAGGGUCUUGUCAUAGUCUGUUUCAUAGGUGUCCCAAAGGAACUCACUAUGUGACUUAGAAAGUGAUUGAACCACCAACUUUCUCAAGACUUUGACACCCAACUCUCCCGGCUUGUCAAUAUGUGACUACAUCUCCAAGAUGUGUUCACACCUAGACCUUGCCUUGCCAAUAGGGCUUGAGUGACCUUAAACUUUUCAAGAACUUGUGGGUUGGGGAGAAUAAUUGGAGGAGGUGAAAGAAGUAUGAUUUCCAUGGGACAUCAUCUUCAUUCAGGAAGGCUUGUUUCAAGAGAUUUGGGAUGAUCAUAAAUGUCUAAACCAUACAUAUUUUGGGAGAUAUUCAAGAUAGUUGAUUUUAAAGUCCUUAAUAUGACACCCAAUAUGAAAUAUUAAGGCUAGGACCCAACAAACUAUUUUAUAACUUAGAAGAGGUAUGCCGUAAUCCAAGCUAUAAAAUAUUUGAAGGUAGGUGAAUGACGAUUCACCAAUUUCCACCAAGAUAAACGAAAUGUAUUAUUAGGUUUUAAUUGGUUUUGAAACUCCUAGAUCUUUGAGAUUCAUUGAACUUUUCAAAGGCAUGUUUCAAUCUCGAGUGUGCCCUUCAGGUUUUGUGACUGGGAUGCCGAGGAUCACAAAACAAGGUGUGAAGUAACCAUGCAAAUCACUUGGUACCCUUAAUAAAUUACCCCUCAAUCGAUGUGCCGGUUAACCACACACGCUCCAUCGAUACUAUGAUAAAUAUUAAGUCACCCUUUACCUACCUUGUUAAGUCCAAGUUAGUGUGCCGGUUAACCACACACGCUCCACUAACGACUUAGACAAAGUGUAAAGUGUAAUUUCAUGGAUUAGCACCUUAUUCACAUUUUUCCUAAGUAACUAAGAUUGGGUAUUAUUAAGAGUUUAGUUACUUAGUAUUAUCAUUAAUACUUUUAAUGAAGGGAGAAUUCUAGUCCUGUCAAACCCGUUCGGCUAACGACCCUCCACCAGUCAAGCAAGCGGUGGGUGAGAGUGGACACCCAUUAAGUUGCCAUUUUAUAGGCAACAACCUUAUACCCACCUUAUAGACCGGCUUCGUGAAUGAGGCGUACUAGCGGUAAGACUGACUUUACUCUUAUACAUAUAUAUAUUAUUAACUUAUAAUAUUAUAAAGUAUAAGGGUUGAAUUUUAACUUUUAAAAUUCUAAGGGCUAACUUGGAAUUAAAGUAUUCAUAAGUGAAAACUUUACAAAUUCCAAAACUUGAGGGCAAGUUUUGAAACUAUUCAAAACUAAUUAAUUCCAUAACUUAUGUGUUUAAAGUAGUUUUAAUCCAAAAACUCUUCAAGUUCCAUAACUUGAGGACAAGUUAUGGAAGACUUUAAACUAAUAAAAGAAUUAACUUUUCUUUAUUUUAUAACUUAUGAAAUUAAUAAAAGUUACACUUUUUUUUUUUAUUUAUUAUUUAAUGAAGAGACUCUUGGUCCUCCAUAACUUGAGGACAAGUUAUGGAGUCAUAAAACCAUUUAAUUAGAACUAGACUCUUCAUUUUGUAACCUUUGCCAACUUUUAUGAGUUUUAUGAAACUUAAAUGUGACUUUUCAUAUAACUUGAGGACAAGUUACAAAAACACAUUUUAGAAUCAACUCUUAGAUUAAUUUGGAUUGAAAACAACUAUUUCACUCAACUUUUCUAUUAAUCUAAGCAACUCAUAAGAACAAGAUAAUUCAAAUCAAACUUUUUCAUGUAAUUAGUCUAAACCUUAAACUAAUACAAAACAUGAAUCUAUUGACAAUUAUCUUUGAAAUUGGAUUAGCAUGAACAUUACCACAUCAAAAACAAGUUUAUAAGUCCAAAAACAUCUUAGGGUAAUGUUCCUAGUCCAAUUCCAGCCAAAAAAGUCGAAUUUAUGAUGUCUGGGGGUCCAACUCGUCGAGUGCACGAACCAACUCGGCGAGUUGGAUGCUUUUUGCCUUGGACUCGGUGAGUCCAUUCAUGGACUCAGCGAGUCUGCUGGGCAGACAGCAUCAAAACUCGAUUUUCCAGCUUUUUUUGCAAGUAUAACAAGAAAACAAGCCUAGUCUCUGAUACCACUGUUGGGUUAUGAGCAUUCUAACACUCCUAAGUGUACAUGCAACCCUAAAUACCUUGGAUCUAUGUUUUCUCUAUUAUACAUACAAAUAUGAACAUCCAAGGUAUUAUCCUAAUCUAGCAUAUAAAAUAAUGAAUAUAACAAGAUAGAAUACAUACCUCUUUCAUGUAGAAAGUCUUCAUGAAGCUUGAAUGCCAAGUGCCCCAAGUGUGACACCUCAAAUGGUUCACACAACACCAAAUACACUUGGAAUAACUUGAGAGAAAUCUACACUUCAUGAAAUCGGCUAGCCCUUUCUAGAAAUGAUACUAGUGACCGAUUUUGUCAAGAAUAAGGUCUUUAUAUAGUGUUACAAUUAGGCUAAACCCUAAUUGCCAUGACUUUCCAUUUCCUUGGAUCCAUGGGUUCAAAUACACCACGGAGCAUCCAUGGACUAUCCUAUGGGUUUUAGCCCAACUUGAUUAUCCAUGGAGCAUUAGCCCACUAUACAAGUAUGGAUGAUUUACAUAAUCAACCCAUAUAUUUAAUUAUUCUUCUUUUGAUCACUUAAUUAAUCCUAGAUUAAUUCUUGAUCAAUCCUAAUUAAAUAAUCUUAUUAUUCUAAUUAUUAAUAUACUAGAACUUAUAAUAUAUUAAUAACCAUAAGUGUCUUAUUUCUCUCAUUAUAGUCUAUCCAAAUGCAUGAUGCCAUGCAACCCAAAUGGACCAUGCCGGGUCGGGUCAUGUCUUACCAACUAUAGUUAUGGACUUAGACAUUAAUCCAACACAUACUACAUGCCACAUCUACCUAUACUUUCCACACGGACCAUCCCAGAUUUCCAAAGUAGCUGCUCAACUUUCUUGUUCAUCCAUCCCGUUACAUGUGUUCUCUCCUCGCGAAAAGAUCUACCCUAUCAGCGCACUCGUUUGACCAUGUUCACCCCCUAGGCUCUCCUUAGGUGCUCACACUUCUCCGCCAUCAACUGCUGAAAAAAUCCUAGUGAUGCCAGCCGUCUACCUCCUGAAUAUCAUCAUAUUCACUUAGUCGAUGACUCCCAUCACCAAGAGUCCCACAAAGCACGAAGCAAGCAACAUUCGGGCAUCGAAUAGUAUCUAUCAACAUGUAUCACCACUCUAUUUUACAAUUCCUAUUGCUACAAUCGUACACAAAAGAUAUUGCCGAGCUCAAGCAACUGCGCCCCUCGAGGUUAUUCGGCUACCUUCUCAGCAGGCCACUUCAAUGCUCAUCUAAGUAUCUCCCCUAGAUUAAUCCUAUACUAAGAUCCCUCUCUGAAAAGGAUUCCUAUAGGAUACUCAUACUCCGCACAUACUCAAAAGCAAAUCACAGAUAGAGACCCUUAGGCUAAAUCAUCACGAAUCAGGCCACUCUAGUCCAAAAUCAUGAAAUACUUAGCCUACUCUCUAGCAUGCAUAUUACAUCUCAUAUCAGUUCAUAACACAUAAAGUAUGGCUAUUUUGGGAAAUCACCGUUUGAGUGCUGGAUGAUUGUAGACACUGCUCAUUUCCCUUUUCUCUUACAACCUCUUUUCAUUUUAGGAAAAAUCAUUUCGUUUAAAAACUUCUCUAAAAUCCUCAAUUUGUGACCAGACAUACCCGAAGGUGUAUCUGAAUCCCUCAAACUAAGGCUCUGAUACCAACUUGUAACACCGUAAAAUUCUUCAAAUUUAUUUUUCAUUUUUAUUUCAUAAAAACGCGUGUCAUUCGAAAUAAACACUUUUUAAUAGUCAACAAAGUUUUCAAAACAUUAUAAAAAUCUAGGAUCCCCAUUCAUGUUUCUUUUCUCUUGUGUGUACAAUCGAGCUACCACCUUCCCGUGAUCCUGAUAAGAACCUGAAACACAUAACACAUAACACGGUAAGCACGAAGCUUAGUGAGUUCCCCAAAAUACCACAUACAACACAUACACCACUCAAGGCCAUAGCUCUAUAGGACCUUCCGGUCCAUGUGUCUCAGGGGACUUCCGUCCCAGCCCUGGUAGACCUUUCGGUCCUACACUUAAUAACAUUCUGGUCCAUACACUGUUGACCUUCCGUCCAUGUGUCUCAAGGGACUUCUAUCGCAGCCCUGGUAGACCUUCUAGUGCUACACGUAAUGACCUUCCGGUCCAUACACUAUUGACCUUCCGGUCCAUAACAAGAUGACCUUCCGGUCCAAACACAUACUACUCAUAACAUAACAUAACACAUGCAUAUCACAUAUCACCUAUCAACAUAUAUCACAUACUCUUCAUAUCACAUAGGACCUUCCGGUCACACAUAAUUACCCCUCUUGGUAACAUAUAGUGAGAAGACUCACCUCGGAAAUCUCGAAAAGUCUCGAACUCAGAAUACUGAUCUAGCCUCCGCCUAAUGACAUCAGGAAAUUACCCUUAAUCAAUAACAACUCUCAAAGGUUAUACAAAUACCUUCCUAUGACCUCUUAGAAGGAUAAAAGACCAUUUUACCCUUCUGCUAGUCCAAAGGUCCACUUGUUGACUAAAAAUUAAAAGUCAACGAAAGUCAACUCCAGUCAACGAUCCAACUUGACCAGACUCGUUGAGUGCACUCUAUGACUCGGUGAGUCCAUGCGUAUACCUUGAUUCCCUCUAAGACCUCACCCGAAUUGUCGAGCAAACCUCCCAACUCAACGGGUUACCACUAGUCACGAAUCGCGGGGCAACCCGAUCCGACUCGUCGAGUUCUCUCGUGGACUCGGCAAGUUUCCUCCAGGGCAAUACCCAAACAACCUUCUGAGGUCAGAUCUGCUCCUCUAACCUAUAGAUCUGGCCUUCUAGAACCCAAAAAUCACGUAAAGGGACUUCACAUACACCAUGUCUCAACUAUAGAGGAGAAGAAGAAACCCUAAGUUCAUAAAAUCUACUACACAUACGAAAUGGACAUGGAUCCAUACUUCCAGCAACAACUUUGAAUGAAAUAAUGGAAGAUCUGAGCCCCUCAAGUCAGCUUAACUUGAAUUCCCUCCUUCUCCCUUACAAGGAUGCACAACAAUGAAGAAAUUAGCUUUCUCUCUCUCCCUCUCUCUCUCUCUCUCUCCCUGUAUCUCUCUUUAUGCUCUCUGGUUCUAUUAGGGUUUCUCCAGGGUAUGUGUGGCCGCACAUGAAGGGCAUAAGGGCAUUUAAAUAGGUCUCAGGCCCAAGGAUUUACGGUUUCAGUCCACAACGUUGACAUGAUGAGUCAGAUACUAGACUCGUCGAGUCCAUCCAUUUGACACGUCCCCAAACCAUGACCCAACUCGACGAGUUAAGGAGCCAACUCGUCGAGUCACCCAAUCAAACUCAGGCCUACAUACCAAAAUUUUAUAGCUCAGAUAUCAGGAUAUUACACGCCGAGUCUGUUCAUACACUUGUCGAGUCCCAUGAUUCCCAGGUCCCUUUACACCGAGAUUCGUCGAGUCCCCAGAACAACUCGUGAGGUCUAUCCAUGACCAACACUAUACAGUCGAUUUGAAUGGGUCUUAACACAUAAAAACCAUAGAUCUGGCCGCCUAAUGUCCAUUUUACACGUAAAGUUGUAAACUUGGUACACAUGCAAGGGGUCUUUGGCCCAAAAAUCCAUAAAAAAUGGCCUCCAAGGUGCAUGGGGUGUUCAUGGCAGCAAAAAGAGCACCUUUUGUGCCAUAAAACCGCCCAAUAGACUUGGAUCUCCAGCAUACACUGACUUCCAACUCUUAAUCCCGAAUACAACCUCUCUAGGGCUUAGAAAGAUGAAGGAAAAGGCCCAAAAAUCAAGAUCUAUAGUCAAAGGUUCAGCUUCAUACCUCCAAUAAGCUGGAAAUGAGCUCCAAAAUCUGGAUCUUCUUGUUUCCCCUUGGUCUCAGAAGCUCCUUUCCUCUUCUCAAGCUUUAUAACCCACCAAAAAGCACCAAAAUGGGCUUAGAACACACAAAACGGCUAGGGUUUCGAUAUGAUGUCUUCUGGGAGUAUAAGGGACGAUGGAAGCUGAGAUAAGGCGUUUAAAUAGGAUGAAAACCGUCAAUUUAGGGUUUUACCCAAACAGCACCUACUCGCUGAGUCAGUCUUCCAACUCGUCGAGUAGGUCACUUAAACUGUCUGCGGAUCUCGACUCUACUCGACGAGUUGGGCCUCCAACUCGUUGAGCCUCAGAGAAAAACACAGGAAUUGUUUGAAUGCAUACCAGGAAUCGGGUGUUACACGAGGGCCCAAUAUAUGAUUAUGUGUAUGGUAUGUGGUAGAUUGGGGAACUCACUAAGCUUUGUGUUUACAGUUUUUAGUUUGGGUUUUAGGUACUUCCGGUAGCGAAGGGAAGAGCUUGAGAUGACUGCAUCACACACACCACGAAGUUUAGCUUGGAAUGUUUUACUCAUAUAAAAUAAGCAUGUUUCGAAUUAAUACACAUUUUUGAGAAAACAACUUAUGUUUAUGAAAGAAAUGAUUUGAUAAUUAUGGUUUGUUUAAUGACUUAAAAAUGAAAUUUUUGGACGGUAUUUUUGGGAUGUUUCAAAUUGGUAUCAGAGCCUUGAUUCGAGGGAUUCGGGCACACUUUUGGGGGUGUCUGAACUCAAACUAAGGAAUUGGUAUAGAAAUUUUCAAAAGGAAAAUCAAUUUUCGUACAAAGUAUUUUAAGAAAAGAAAAGAACUUUGAAAAGAGAAAAAGGGUGUGGUGCGUGCAAUCAGUCGAAAUCAAGUAAGUACUCCCAAAUUACCUAUACAAGUUUGUUUAAUGAUAUGAUUAUCAUCUUUAUAAGAACUACAUGCUAGACUAGGACUAAGGAUCUAGGGAGGAUGCCUUAUGUUCCUUUUAUAUGUGUAUCUUCAUUAUGAAUUGCAUGCUAGUAUAGAUUAGUUAGUAUGAUGGCCUGAUUAGAAUGUUCAUGAUUAUGUGUACUCAAUGCUCGAAUGUUGCUUGUUGUCUUUUACUAGCUAGUAAACAAAUUUGUGAAGUUACAUAUUACGAGGACUAAAUAAUUUUAGAUGGUAAGGUCAAGCUCUAUUUUGCAGCUCUUGUCUGAGUCCAACCGUUGUAGGGUAGGACCUAUCAUUCGAAGAAUUAUCUAGUCUUAGUGAUGUGUAAUGGUAUUCACGAGCUAGUUAGGGGAGAUAGUAGGGACUUCUUAUGCAGCUGAUGGCGGAGAAUGGAUUGGUGAUUACCCUAUAGCAAGCCUAAGGAGAGAGUAGUGAUGGGAGCAGUAGUAGUAAGGGACUUGGUGGAGUCGAGGCAAUUCUUGAGGAAAGUACAGAUAGAUGUGGAAGGUAGUAGGGCCUGUAGUACUGAAAGUAGCUGAUUCGUACUCGAGUCAAGGAUGGCUGAGAUAAAACUGGGGAACUUGUAAUAUGUGUGUGAUCCCUUGAUAGUGAUGAGUAUUCUGAUGGUUGUCAUGUUAUAUUACAGUAUGGUGACACUAUGGGGUAGAAGCCGAGCAGCUCGGGGAGCAGAUGAGAGAGUUUAUAUCAUCUAAGAUUACACAUAGUAAUCUACACCAGACCCCUUUGAUCUUUUAAAUGGUCAAGGAGAACAUACUGGAGAUUUUGGAUGAGAGGUUGGGAGCCUUCUGUACUGAGAUCGUGGCCAUGAUGGGGGCGCGUACACUGACAUUCUGAGAGUUUAGAGCUUAUGGAGCUCCAGAUUACCAUGGGGCUAGGGACCCCAUUGCUAACAGCAGAUGGUUAGCUGACGUCAAAAAGCACGUUUCGUUCUAGCCGGUGUCCCGAGUGAGACAAGGUCCUACUCGCCUCCUAUCUUAGCUUGUGGACACAAUGACAUGGAGUGAUUUCUCGGCCAGGUUCAAUGUCGAGUUUUCACCAUUGAUCGAGUUAUAGCAGUUAGCGCGAGAGUUCCAUGAUUUGCGGUAGACGACUGAGACUAUGGCGGAGAUUACCUCCAUGUUCAGUGAGAAGUCUCUCCAUGUUCUGUAGCAUGUCGCAGACGAGGAGGCGAAGAAGGACCUAUAUCAUGAGAUGUUGAGGAGUGAUAUCAGACAGUUUGUGAGUCGGUCGAGCUGCAAGGCAUUGGAAGACAUGAUCACUCGAUCCAGAGAGAGAGAUUGACUUGGAGUCAGAAAGAAAGAAGAAGUCGGAUGAGAUUCAGGUGUCUACGGGUUCGGGAAAGAGUCCUAAGACAUCGGAUUCUAGAUUGAGAGGUCAUCAAGACCAUAGCCAUUGUGGCAAGUGUGUAGGAGCGGUACUAAUGAUGAUUUGGGUUGCUCUAAAUGCAGCUAGAUCGGUCAUUUUAGUAGAGAUUGUAUUGUUACCACCACCAAGGGAUUAGACCUGAUAUGCUUCCGUUGCAGUCAGAGGGGCCACAAGAAGGACCAAUGUCCGAGUUUUCUUUCAGCAAGACAGAUGAUAGCACCUGCCUCUACGACGUUGAGGAUCACGGAUGGCCGUCAUGGUCGGGCAGAGGCGCCUACGGCGAGGAGCAGGGUGUUCCAGUUGAUUUCAUAGAAGACGCGAGUAGCCCCUGAUGUGGCAUGGACAUAUCUCUCACUCUUUCUAUCAACUUUUGUUUAUGAUUUUAUUGUUAUGGUACUGCAUCAAUAUUGGUAAGGUUUGUGGCUAACUUAGGAUUGAGUUAUAUUCCAUCUGCAUACCAUAGAUUUUAGUGUAGUAGUUAGAGGUCAUUCCACUUUAGAGCAGGUUACUCAUGAUAGGGUAACUAUAGCAUGCAUAUUUGGGACUCGAGAGUGUUUCGUUAGUUUUGUAGGGGAGGUACUGUUUUGGUAUUGGUCAGUUAGAUCACUAGCAAUGAUAAGCGUGGUUUGACAAUCGAAUGGUCAGAGGAUGGUGAGAAGAAUUGGGAUUUCGUUUCAAGUUGUGAGCUGUAAGAAGCUAGUUGAAUCGAAGUGGGGGCCGAACCAAUCAGUAGUAAGGAGCUAAGGUAAGUGCACAACUUGGAUGUUUUCGCAUCCUUGCUGAGAAGGAAAGCAGCCUAGGUAGCUAUUUGGAUAGAGCAAUGGGGAAGUUAGGAGUUUGGGAACCUUCCUGACAUUGAGUUCGUGUAUUCACAUUAGUUGAUGACUGGUUUUGGAAACCAGGUUGGAGAUCUUUUCGGUAGGAUGUGAGUUUAGUUAGGAUGUAAGACUACGGGGUAGUCGUAGCAUUCACCAACAGUUAGACAGUACGGGAAGUGUUGUAAGACUUUGGGAUAGCCAUAACAUUCAUUAGCAGCCAGCUAGAGGAGUAUGGGACAGGGCCCAUAGCUCUUAGUUAGCGGAGUGUAGGCGAGGGUCGUAUCUCCUACUCAACAGGGUGUGGGUGAUACUCGUAUCACCUAGUUAGCGAGGUUAGAAUCGGGAAAGGAUAAAUAGAUAAAACUCAUGGGAGUUAUACCUGUAUAGCCUGGAUAGGUGAGACCUUGGGGCAAGGCCCGUGAGUUAGUAGUAAGGCAGAUGAGACCUGGUAGAGACCUUUUGGUUAAGGUAGGGGAUCUAGGAAUUGCAGGAUUUCUAGAUCUAGAGUGGCUAGGUUGAGAGAGUAGUUUUCGGUAGCCAUUGUUUCCUUUGGGAGUUGCUAGGAGUGACUGAGAGAUCAAGCUUGGGUCUAGUAACCCAGAUAGUGAUAGAGAAGUUGUGACCAUAGUGGUUUCAGAUCAUUUGUGAAGCGGACCAGACGCAGUAGGGUCUGCGGACAUGCAGUAACGAGGGAAUUCUUGUAACAUCUUGAUUGAUCAUUUAUGAAAUUUGAGUUUUAUUCGUGGAACUUUGAGGUUGUGAUGAGUUACUAGAAGCGUAGGUCUUCUCAAAACCUUUAUGGGGAUACAAAGUUCCAUGGAAACAGACUUGUAACAAAGAAGCUACAACAGUUUGAGGUUUUGGCAAGUUUAGUCCUUAUUGUGAGGUGUGUGGCAGUUGAGUACGCAGAGCGUAGUUAUCUGUACGCUCGGCGUACUCAUAUGCAUGGAAGGGACGCGAAGGCUACCAAGUACACUGGGCGUACUAGGUCCUGGAAGAAAGCCCUAAUAUUUUGAAGUAUCCCUGUUUAAGGAACAAUAUACCUUCACACUCAGCCACCAUUUCCAACAUCUUACUUCCCUCAAAACCCAAAUCACGUUUCUUAGCUUGUGUGAGCAUUGGAGGCUUAUGAAGUGAUCAUGUGGGAUUCUUUUGAGAAGUAGGAACCUUGAAGGAAUAAGAGUUGUCAUUCAAGCUUUUGGAUCUGAACUUCCUUAAGGAUGGAGCAUCAUUUAGAGGUAUCAAGCUAUAAGCUUUACUCUUAUUUUACAUAGUUCAUUUAAUGGUCCAUUUUAGGGUUUAUGUCCCUAAAGCUUGAAGCUUUAUGAGUUCGUCAAUCCCAGAGCCUUAUACUUGUCCUCUUUGAUGUCUUUGGACGAUAGAAGUUCAUAAAAAUGGCGUCUUGGUCAUCAAGAUCUUCCCAUCCAUGAGAUAUGUGGAUUUUACGGUGAAAAAGUGAGAGUUUAUGAGAUCUAGACUUGUCGAAGCAUGAUAGUGUUUAAAGUCACCACCUUUAUGUUAUAAGAGACUUCAUUUGACCGAUAUCUGGGAUGGUAGCCUUUGUCUUAAUGGGUUAAGACCACUUGAGUGAGAUAAGCAAGCCUGGGACAUACACCGAGCUUACUCCCAGCUACGCGCUGCAUAGCAUCGAGCCACCCUUGUUGCAUGCAUGGCUAGGCGUUCACCCGACAUAGAGAGACGUACGCCCAGCAUACGUGGGGAGUGUUGACCUCCCGUUGACUUUUAGGGUUUUGAGAAAAUGUGGAUUUUUUAGGGUAAAAUGGUCUUUUCACCCUCCUGGGAUUUAAUAAAGGAUUAUUGGGCGUGGGAGUUAGGUCCAUUUAAGGUUGGGCCCAGUUGGGGAGAUUGGGCCAUUAGUGGGCCCUUGCCUUUUUGACUUGAGUUUAAGGGUUGGGCCUUAGGUGUGACCAUUUAGUAUUGGGCCUUGGUGGGCCCAAUGGGUUUAGGCUAUUUACGGACCGAGUUGGUGGACUAUCCUUAGAGCUAACGAGGAGGGUAUGGUCUUAGAUACUAAUUGGGUUGUAACACAUGGAUUUUAGAAGGCUUAGAAAGGGAAGGAAUCUCGAAUGAAGGGGGUGAGUCGUCGAGUAGAUGGGUGACUCGACGAGUAGGGACGCGAUUUGGUCGCAAGUUUAGUGACCUACUCGAUGAGUCAGAGGACUGACUCGGCAAGUUGGCCAGGUUUUGGCAAAAACCUAAAUCGAGAUUAGGUGCCCUAUUUAAGCAACUUAUUCUCAUUCUAUCAGCCUCAUUUGUAGCCUGCAUUGUCCAAAGCUUGUCCCACAAAACCCUAAUGCUCUCUUUGAGUGUGUGAGCUAUUAUUGAAGGAUUUAGAGUGUUAUUGAAGUCUAGAAGAAGAAGAAGGAGUUUGAUGUUUCAAGGAGAAGGAGUAAAUCAAGGAGAUUCACUCAAUUUCAUUCUCAUUUUGGUAAUCAAGUUCUCACCUUGACUUUUAGCUUAUUUGAUCUCCUUAUGUUCCUUUUUAUGGAGUUUAUGGAACACGAAUGAUGCCUUGUGGGAUUUGGACGUCCCUAAGCUAGAUCAUUUCAGAUCUAGGGGUGUUUAGUGAAGUAAAGGUGUAUAGGUGGGAGCUUUAUGCCAUCAAACCUCCUCAUGGAAAGAUUAAGUGGUUAUUAUGGCCUUUUGAGCAAAAAGGGUCAUGCAAGGGUGCAAAGGUAGCAAAUUUGUGUGAUAUCCCGACCCUAGGAGGCAAGAUCUGUGUCUUGGAUGCCUUGAGUUUGUCUGAAGUCAUCUGAAUAGUGUUGGACAUAGAGAGACUUGGCGAGUCAGUUGUGGCACUUGACGAGUCAGGCCAGUUCUUUCCCCAAAACCCUUCUGUGAAGGGUAUAAGUUGAGUUUGGAAAGGGACUCAGCAAGUCUGAGUCUGUAAGGGUCAUAAUGUUCAUCGUACUCGAUGAGUUCAAGGAAGAACUCGGCGAGUCCAAGGCAAUCUCCUUAGUUUAUAAACAUGGACUCGGCGAGUUGUUCAUACAACUCGACGAGUCGGUUGUUGCUGGUCCUGAUUGUAUGGUUAAAUGGGAACCUAUCGAGUUCCUACUAGACUCAACGAGUAGAGUUGGGAUUAUGUGGGGAUUGGGGGAGUAUGGACUCAAUGAGUUGGUAGAGCAACUCGGCGAGUCAGGUAAACUGGAUGUUGACUUUGACCAUUGACUUUGACCAUGUGUUGACCAACAUUGACUUUUGGAUUAUUGUGGUCUAAUUGUUGUUUGGGUAUUGAUAGUUCGGGAAGCCGAAGGGUCAAUGGUUCAGAAGUGCCGGUUAGCAGUCAGAAGUGUUCAGCAAGUCUCCAACAGUGCGUAGUGAGUCUCCUUACUAUGUGCAUGGGUCUACGGCCACAAUGUCGGCCCAUUAUGUUUAUGUUUAUAUUAUGCUUAUGUAUAGAAGGAAGACCUGGGGGAUAGCCCUAGGCACUUAUUGAUAUAUGAUCCAGGUCAUGACCUGAUGUCGGGCGAGGCCCGAGGAAUGAUAGGAUGCUAUAGGUCUUUGUGAUUCUUGCAUGUGUCAGUAUGAUAGGUUCUGUACCGAGGGUCGGAGGUCGGGGUUAGCCCGAAGUAUGUUAGUUAAUAGUAUGCCUAUGGACCGGGAGUCCGAUGCUAGGGUAAACCCGAGGAAGGUUAUUAUUUAUUAUGUAGUUUGUACCCGUUGUCUUCGUGACACUUGUAUGUGCCUGGUAGGAAAGUGAGUGUGGGCGAGGUCCCGUAUCUCACCACUAGCUGAGUAUGGAUGGGGUUCCAUGUCUCGAUAUGAGCAGAGUAGGGGCGAGGCCCAUCACAGUAAGGACAUGAGUGUGUGCAGGGGCCCGUAUCUCACUACUAGUAGGAGUAGGGGACCGGGUUCCACUACAUCAGUAGCAGACCAGGGGCGAGGCCAAAGUUAGGCGAGGCCUUAGAUCAGGAUGCAGUUAGAUUAUGUUUAUAUAUGUUCUUGUAUGUUAUUUGAACGUAUGCAUGUGUAUGGGGGGCGAGGCCUAAGUCAAACAGAUCUGUAUACCGAGCGGGGCUCGAUGCCAGGUGGGACCAGAUGCCAGGCGGGGCCUAAUGGAAAAUGAGUUCCGAUGGCGAGCGAGGCCCAAUGCAGCAUGCGGGGGCCCAGAAUAUGGUUAUGUGCUCAGGUUUAUGUUUAGCAUGUUUGGAUCAGUAGAUAUGUAUGGUAUGUGGUAGGUUGGGGAACUCACUAAGCUUCGUGCUUACGGUUUUCAGUUUUGGUUUCAGGUAUUUCCCAUAGUGAAAUGAGGAGCUUAGGAUGAUCGCAUGGCACACACCAAGAAGUUUAACCUGGGAUGUUUACUCUGAUAAAAUGAAUAAGUGUUUUGAAAAGAUACUCUAAUUUGUUAUAAAACCCUUUAAAUGUGUUGAAAUUAUUUAAUACUACGAUUAGCAAUGUUUUUAAAAGAAAAUUUUUUUGUGAUGAUUUUUGAGAUGUUACAAGCUGGUUUCAGAGCCUUGGUUUGAGGUAUUGGGGCACACUCUCGGGUGUCACUGAACUCAAACUAAGGGCUUUGUAAGAAAAUUUUCGAAGGAAAAAUCGUUUUUAUACAAAGAACUUUGAAAAGAAAAAGGGUUUUGAAAAAUGAAUAAGGACUUUAGAAAGAGAAAAGGGUGUGGUGCUUGCAAUCAGCCGAGCUCCAGUAAGUUGUCCCAAAUUACCCAUACAAGAUUAUGUUAUGUUAUGAUUAUGUGGUCAGCAUGCUAGAUUUAGGGCUAAGGAUCUAGGAGGAUGCCUUAUGUACCUGUUAUAUGUGCUUAUUAAGCUGCAUGAUAGUGUUGGUUAGACAGUGAUAGGAUAGCCUGCUUAGGUUAUGCCUGAUUAUAUGAGCUUCUAUCGCAUGCUAGUACAAAUUCUUGUUAUGUGAAUAGAAUUGCUUGAUUGUUUUCUGGUUAGAAUUUCCUUUUUGUAUGAAUGAUGUUUGCUAUGUGCUUUGUGGGAUUCUGAGUGAUGGGAGUUAGCUAUUAGGUGAAUACAUUAAGUCACAUUUAAUCAGGGUCGAAUAAUCUUAGAGUGCGGGAUUUGACCCUAUUGUGCAGCUCUUGUUUGAGUCCAAACUGUUGUAGGGAUGAGUCCCUUACUCGAAGGAUUAUCCGAGGCACGUUACAUGUAAUGGUAUUCAAGCGAUGGCUAAUUGGAAUUACGAGGAGACCUUCAACAGAUCAGGAUUGGUUUGGGUUGGAGAUUUCCCUAGGAUAGGCCUAGGAUGAGUUUAGUGCUGGGAGCAGUAGUAGUAGUGCAAGGGACUAGGUGGAGUCGAGGCAACUCUUGAGGAAAGUAUAGAUAGAUGAGGAAGGUAGUAUGGGCCCGUACUACUAAAAGCAGAGGAUCCGUACUCGAUUUAAGAGGGGCCGAGAUAAAACCAGGGAACUUGUAGUGCAUGUGUGUGUGUGUGAUCCCUCAGUAUUGAUGUGUAUUUUGAUAUUAGUUAUGGCAUAUUUUCAGUAUGGUGACGUUGCAAGAUUGACCAUUGGAUUGGUCAGGUGUCAGGGAGGGGUCGGGCUCGGGUACAAGGACCGAGGAGCUCGAGGAGCAAAUGAGGGAGUUUCUAUCAGCUGAUAUUAUGCUUAGUAUUCUAGAACAGACUCGUGUGAUCUUUGGCACGGUCAAGGAGGACAUACUGGAGAUUUUGGAUGAGAGGAUUGGAGCCUUUCGCACAGAGAUGAUGACUAUGUUGGGAGCACAUACAUUGACUUUUCUGGAGUUCAGAGAUUGUGGAGCUCCGAACUACCAUAGGGCUAUGGACCCCAUUGCUAGCGGAAGAUGGUUGGCUGAUGUCGCCAAUGCUUUUUGUUUUAGUCGGUGUCCCGAGGGGGACAAGGUUCGAAUCGCAUCCUGUCUUCUGAAGGAUAGAGGACAUGAUUGGUAGGAGGAGGUUACUCAUGUUAUGUCGUGGAUUGGUGGGUGGAGGUACAAUAGUUGGCCCAGGAGUUCCAGGAUCUACAGCAUAUGAUCGAGACAGUGGUGGAGAUCACCGCCAAGUUUAGGGAGAGGGCUUUUCUUGUUCCGCAGUAUGUCGUGGAUGAAGAGAUGAAAAAGGCCCGAUAUCACGAUAUGCUGAGAGAUGACAUAAGAGAGUUUGUGAGCAGAUCCAACUCUAAGGCGCUGGAGGAUAUGAUUGCUCGGGCUAGGGAGUGGGAGAUCGAUCUGGACCACCUCGGGAAGAGUAAGCCGGAGGGGGUUCAGGUAUCUAUGGUAUCGGGUAAGAGGCCCAAGACAUCAGACUCUAGAUCAAGAGCUCCUCAGGACCGGGGCCGUUGUGGUAAGUACGGCAGGACACAUGCGGAUGCGUGUAGGAGUGGCAGCGGUGGUGAUUCUGUUUGCUUCAAGUGCGGCCGGAUUGGUCAUUUUAGCAUAGAUUGUACUACUACCACAACCCAGGAUCAGACUUGAUAUGUUUCCACUGUAGUCAGAAUGGCCACAAGAAGGCCCAAUGUCCAAGUUCGCAUUCAGCAGGACAGGUGAUAGCACCUGCCCCUGCAACCUUAAGGAUCACUGACGGCCGUCAGGGACGGGCAGAGACGCCUGCAGCAAGGAGCAGGGUGUAUCAGUUGGUCUCAGAUGACGUGUGAGCAGCCGGUGCAUCAGGUACAUAUCUUCCUUCAUUUCUCCGUCAGUUUAUGUUAUGAUCUUGUUAUUAUGGCUCUACAACGGUAUUGGUGAUAAUAUGUCGAAAAUUUUUGUAACCUGCUUGUGAUCGAGUUAUAUGCCAUUUUCAUACCUUGGAUUUUAGAAUGAUAGUUGUGAAGAGUUUUGAGCAUUCUAACACUUCCUAAGUGUACAUGCAACCCUAAAUACCUUGGAUCUAUGUUUUCUCUAUUAUACAUGCAAAUAAGAACUUCCAAGGUAUUAUCCUAAUCUAGCAUACAUAACAAUGACUAUAGCAAGAUAGAAUACAUACCUCUUUGGUGUAGAAUGUCUUCAUGAAGCUUGAGUGCCUAGUGCCCCAAGUGUGACACCUAAAAUGGAAUCACAAUCAUCAAAACACUUAGAAUGACUUGAGAGAAUUCUACACUCACCAAAAUCGGCUAGCCCUUUCUUCACACACACUAGUGGCCGAUUUUUCCUUAAUAAUAAGAUGCUUAUAUAGUUACACAAUUAGGGUAAACUCUUAAUUGUCAUGGCUUUCCAUUUCCUUGGAUCCAUGGGUACAAAUACACCAUGGAGCAUCCAUGGACCAUCCUAUGGGUUUUAGCCCAACUUGAUUAUCCAUGGAGCAUUAGCCCACUAUACAAGUAUGGAUGAUUUACACAAUCAACCCAUAUAUUUAAUUAGUCUUCUUUUGAUCACUUAAUUAAUCCUAGAUUAAUUCUUGAUCAAUACUAAUUAAAUAAUCUUAUUAUUCUUAUUAUUAAUAUACUAGAACUUAUAAUAUAUUAAUAACCAUAAGUGUCUUAUUUCUCUCAUUAUAGUCUAUCCAAGUGCAUGAUGGUAUGCAACCCAAAUGGACCAUGCCGGGUCGGGUCAAGUCUUACCAAUUAUAGUUAUGGACUUAGACAUUAAUCCAACAGUCUCCCACUUGGAUAAGUCUAAAACUAUUAUUGCGUAUGACUUCAGGAACCAACUGGCAAUCGUAGCUCUCAAAAGCUUCUGUCGAACUCUGACCUUGUAGAUGAACUCUGACCUUUGUCAAUGACUUGUCCAUUAGAUAAGGGAUCAUAUAUUCCUCCAUUCUAGAUAUCAUAUGGACUGAGACAUGGAUUAUAAUCAUUCUCUCUGUCCAUUUGUUGUUUCCCGAUUUCCGAUUUAUGACGACUGACUAAUUGAACAAAUCAAAUCAGUCCUGGCCCGGCCGAGCACUUCCAUUUGUCAUCAUCAAAUCAUCGAGGGGCCCACAGAUAUCGCUUUUAUCCCGAAGGUAAAAGGAAUGGAUAAACUUCGACUCAUAUGGCUUGUUCUACUACUUGUUGAAUCAUACACAAAGGCACGUUUUAUAGCACCGAGUUACCAAAUGCGUUUUCGUGCAAUCAAUGUACUAUCAACUCAUAGUAACAACUCAUAUCUCUAGGUUUGAAGAAUAUAAGAUAUUAUCGUCUCAUGAUCACUCGUGAUAAAAUCCAUGAAGUGAUUCCAAUGAGCGCGGGUUGAAUCCAAUACUCAGAACUUAUGAGCACUCAUGAGUGUUGUAGCCCUUUGUCCAACACCUUAGACCUCUACAAGCCAACCCAUGACAGUCUUAAUUCAUAUCUACUUCCAACAUAUGACCGACUGUGGAUGGUUUGAAUAACUUAGUCAUUCCGGAAGAAUAACCCAGUUUAUUCGGGAAGUCAAAACAUGCAAAAUGAAACACAAUAAUAAUUGAAUCCAAUAUGGUAUCAACCCUUUGAACAUAAAUAAAACACCUUUUAUUUAUCACCAUAUGAUUACACAUUAUUCAUUGUAUACUGUUUCAGCUAUCAACUUUAUUCUUGAAUUUAAAACAAUAGUUGUCCCAUGCUCCAAGCAUGUACACUAUGUUUUCUUAAACACUAGUCAUGCCACACACCAAGUAUGCAUACUAUGUUUGUCUAUGAUCUUUACUUUGUGAACUAGAUCAAUUGAACAUAACUUCAAUGAUUCUCUUUUCACACUCCCAAAUCCUUACUGCAAAUGCAAGAAUUCCAAAUUCAUGCCAUUUACUGAAAUCUGUUAGAUUCUAAACUUAUAUGCAUUGAUCCUCUUGUAAUGAUUAUGCACAAAGUCACAAAGACUUGGCAACAAUCAUUACAGAGUAUUCCAAAGGAGAUCAACUCCUUGGAAAUAUCCUUCUUGCAUUAAGUUUCCUUAAUCUUACACAGAUUGAAAAUUCUAACUUUGAAACAUUUCCAGAUUCCAUUUUGACUAUCACUUCUGAACAAGAGUUGCCUCCUUACAGAUUAUGUCAAUAUGGUCCUUCCAGAAUUAUCACUAUACUUCCAAUUGUCCUUGAGUAACCAAUCUUUGGUAAACCUUAGAUUGUCCUCGACAAUUGUUUAAUCCUUUUAGUCAUAUCCAGUUCUAAACCUUUUCCCUUCUUAAUGCCCCAGGCAUUUGGAAAAUUUUAGAACGGAUGAAUAUAGCACAUGUAAUCGAUCCUAUAUCCGAAGCAUAUGGGACACGAUUCAUGAUGUCUUACAUAAAGACUAAACCAGUCUUUUGCUAUAAUAUUUCCAUUUCAAUUUGCCAAGUUCUCAUAAUUCAGAUUAUGAAAAGGGAUGCCGUAAUCAUAAUCGAAUUUUAGAACGCAAAUAAUGGACCCAUAUACAGAAUUUCCUUAUGUUGAGCCAUUCCAACAUGAAAUUCAUAUAUAUCCUUGACUAAAUGAUUAAAACCUCACGAUCUAAGCUUAUAGAUUUGAGAUGAAGCAUAAUUUCCUCUCCCUUAAUUAUAGCAAAACAACUUUUUCCCAAUUGAAACUUUUGUUUUCUAUAAUUAACAUUGCUAACUUGCAAUACUUAUCAUAAUUAUCAUGCUCCCACUAACAUGAUGAUUAUUAGCAUAACACUUAUGCUCCCACUAGCUUUGACAUGUACUCAGAAAUCAGCUGGACAGUCUGAAAUUUAGAUUCAUACACCCUUUCCGUAGAUAGCUCACCUGUGUGUCUAAGCAAUUUCAAGAACCAUGAAAAGGGAUACCGUAAUCAUGGUCUCAAUUGCUUAGGCAUUUGCCAUUUCUCACAAGUCCAUGUUAGUGUGCCGGUUAACCACACGCGCUCCACUAACGACUUUUGAAAAUGCAAAUAACACAAUUGAUAUCUUCGUAAAAUCUACUUAGUGAAAGCGUUUCCUCACCAUCAUUUUCAUGAAUCGGAGAGAAACCUUAUGACACUUAGAUUUAUAUGGUGUAUGAGUUCCUACCCAUAUGAAUUUGUCAAACCAUAAUCACAAGACAAAGAUAAUGACAAAUCCAAAACCAUAUGGAUUGAACUCAAUCUUAACUUCUUGCCACCUGGCAGCUCAAGGGCCUGCCAUUGCUUCCAAGUUGUUAUGCAACAAACUGAGAACUCUAAGAACUCAUAUGCAAAGCCAACUUUAACUGGAAUGGGCACAGAUAUGUCAACACGAUAGGUUAUAAACCUCAAGUCGUGUGCUAGUGAAGAACUUCAGGUUUUAUUCUUGAUUAUUUCUUGAGACUUUCAAGACCUUUAAGACUCCCACUGUCCUCUUGACAUAUAAGACUCCCUUGUCAAACAUCCAAGAGAUAGUGCGGAUUCUAAUCAAGAAAAACACUUUACCCAAUUGGCCUAAGUUGGUCUUUGUUUUAUCCAAAACAUCACAACUUACCAAUUUCAAAUGUACAAGAGUAGAAAACUUUUACUCUUACAUUUGACAAGUGUUUUAAACCUUCUUUAAGACAUGUCACUCAAAUGACAAUCUUGGAGUAUGACUCUAAGACUUGUAUUGGAACGAAGUAUGACUCAUCUUCUUGAUUUAACCAUUUCAACAAUUCAAGUUCCUCUUCUUAGUCAUAAGAAUGCACUAAGAUUUCCUUAGAGAACUAAUUUUGAUAUGGUUUCUUAAUCAUUAAGAUGAUCACAAAACUGAUACUAAAGUACUCUCCCAUCUUUUCAGAUAUGAGAAACUUUUAUCCUUCUGCCUAAUUUGAUUCUUCUUAUUCGCCCUGCCAUACAUUGGAACCUUUUCCAAUGUCUCAGAGUUACACUUAAGCUUGUAAGUAUAAUCAUAUUUACUGAGCUUUAGUAAACUAUGACGAAUAGUCUUAUCAAUCUUUUGUGGUGGACUUAAUCAGUGCACAAGAAUGUGUACUCGAUCCCUUAGUCCUUUACUUGACUCACACAUCCAUGUGAACAAGUAAUUAGUCUUAAUUUUCCAAAACUUGAAAGUUCUCAUUCAUCAUGCUAUACAACUUGCAUGAUUCCAAGUUCCGGUCCAAUUGAAACUUGGGUGAUGAGAAUCUUUCCUUAUUUGGUAAAUCUAGACAUUACCACAAAUGAAAGAAUCAAUUUCAUAUUUCCACUCUUGCUCUUAAUGGAAUCAUAUAAGCAACAAUUUUUCCUCAAAAGCCAUUGUAAGGAUAUUUUAAAAUAAAUAAAAUCAAAAAAAUUUUCUUUUAUUUUAAAACUUUGCGGAAAAACUUAUCCUUACAAUCCAUAUGAAAACUUGUUGUUAUCUAUUCCUAAGCAAUAUCUCAUAACUCCUAAGAAGUAGCUCAAGAAUCCGAUCUUCAAACUAUGCGAUAGAAAUCCAUCUACGCCAUCAGAUUCAGCAUAUUCUUUCUUUAAGUUUCUUCACUUUUCUUUGAUUCUUAAAACAUCACCAUGUGACCCAGUCACAUCAUGUAUCAAGAAUCUCAGAAUAGAAACUUAACAGAGUUAGAUAGUGGACUUUACCUGAAGUAGAGUCAAACUUAUUGACUUUAACAUCCUUAGGUAAAUUUGGCAGCUUCGCAACCAAUGCCCCUUCCUUUGGCAAUAUAAACAUAUGGACCCUUUGAUAAUGGUACACGGGACUAUCACAGACUUAGCUUUUCUCUUUACCAUUUGGUCAACCGAGUUGACUAUGGCCGAUCCCUUUCCAUUGGGAAGAGAAUGCUUUACUGGAUAUCCAAUGUCAUCAUUGUCAAUGUCCAUAAAGUUUUAGGAAGUUGAUCUUAGCAAAUAGAUAAGAUCAUUAAGGGUCUUGUCAUAGUCUGUUUCAUAGGUGUCCCAAAGGAACUCACUAUGUGACUUAGAAAGUGGUUGAACCACCAACUUUCUCAAGACUUUGACACCCAACUCUCCCGGCUUGUCAAUAUGUGACUACAUCUCCAAGAUGUGACCACACCUAGACCUUGCCUUGCUAAUAGGGCCUGAGUGACCUUAAACUUUUCAAGAACUUGUGGGUUAGGGAGAAUAAUUUGAAGAGGUGAAGAAGUAUGAUAUCCAUGGGACAUCAUCUUCAUUAGGAAACCUUGUUUCAAGAGAUUUGGGAAGAUCAUAGGUGUCUAAACCAGAC